AGUGAACGCUGGCGGUAGGCCUAACACAUGCAAGUCGAACGGCAGCACAGUAAGAGCUUGCUCUUACGGGUGGCGAGUGGCGGACGGGGAGGAAUACAUCGGAAUCUACUUUUUCGUGGGGGAUAACGUAGGGAAACUUACGCUAAUACCGCAUACGACCUACGGGUGAAAGCAGGGGAUCUUCGGACCUUGCGCGAUUGAAUGAGCCGAUGUCGGAUUAGCUAGUUGGCGGGGUAAAGGCCCACCAAGGCGACGAUCCGUAGCUGGUCUGAGAGGAUGAUCAGCCACACUGGAACUGAGACACGGUCCAGACUCCUACGGGAGGCAGCAGUGGGGAGUAUUGGACAAUGGGCGCAAGCCUGAUCCAGCCAUACCGCGUGGGUGAAGAAGGCCUUCGGGUUGUAAAGCCCUUUUGUUGGGAAAGAAAAGCAGCAGGUUAAUACCCCGCUGUUCUGACGGUACCCAAAGAAUAAGCACCGGCUAACUUCGUG
rnacentral:rRNA from 1 species